rnacentral:lncRNA from 11 species
UCACUCACAUAUAUUGGGUUCAAGACAUUAAGCAGUGUUAUUUGUCAUCUCUUUCCACAGAGCAUGCAUCCAGAGAGGAACAUAGAGGCGAACCAGAUGAGUGAUGUAGUGCAGGUGACCACGGCUCCCAAAUGGACCACGGUUAAGGCGGCCGGAUGGUUCAGGAGCCGGUAACCAGCUGACUGCCAUCUCCUCCGAUUUGCUGGCCCUCUGUCUUUCAGAUGGAUCAAUCCUCUGCCAAUGCAUAACAUUUUCAUUUCCCUCUUUUGUUCGGCUCCCUUUAUUUUGCCGCAAUUAUAAUUACCCCCCUCCCUGCACCACGCCGUUUGAAAGGGGUUUAGGAACAAUUUCGUGCAAUACACAUAAUUGGCAAUUGAGCUUACCCCUUUUGGUCUCUUUUCAUGAGAAAAAAAUGACACUUAAAAUAAAAAAAAC